rnacentral:rRNA from 1 species
GGGCCCGCACAAGCGGUGGAGCAUGUGGUUUAAUUCGAUGCAACGCGAAGAACCUUACCAAGGCUUGACAUACUACAGAUUUCUUUGAAAAAGGAAAGUGCCUUCGGGAAUGUAGAUACAGGUGGUGCAUGGCUGUCGUCAGCUCGUGUCGUGAGAUGUUGGGUUAAGUCCCGCAACGAGCGCAACCCUUAUUUUUAGUUGCUAAUUUAGUUUAGGUUUUCUAGAAAGACUGCCGGUGACAAACCGGAGGAAGGUGAGGAUGACGUCAAGUCAGCAUGCCCCUUAUGCCUUGGGCUACACACGUGCUACAAUGGUUAAGACAAAGAGUUGCGAGCUCGUGAGAGUCAGCUAAUCUCAUAAACUUAGCCUAAGUUCGGAUUGUAGGCUGCAACUCGCCUGCAUGAAGUCGGAAUC